GAUGAACGCUGGCGGCGUGCUUAACACAUGCAAGUCGAACGGAAAGGCCCAAGCUUGCUUGGGUACUCGAGUGGCGAACGGGUGAGUAACACGUGGGUGAUCUGCCCUGCACUUCGGGAUAAGCCUGGGAAACUGGGGCUAAUACCGGAUAGGACGAUGGUUUGGAUGCCAUUGUGGAAAGAUUUUUCGGUGUGGGAUGAGCUCGCGGCCUAUCAGCUUGUUGGUGGGGUAAUGGCGUACCAAGGCGUCGAGGGGUAGCGGGCCUGUGAGAGGGUACGGCCACAUUUGGACUGUGAUACAGGCCACACUCCUACGGGGGGCGGCAGUGGGGGAUAUUGCGCAAUAUGCGCGAGCCUCAUGCGGCGACGCCGCGUGUGCGAGGACGGCCUUCUGGUUGUAUACUCCUUUCUCUAGUGUCGAGGCGUUUUUGUGACGGUACCUGGUGAAGAAGCACCGGCUAACUACGUG
rnacentral:rRNA from 1 species